rnacentral:rRNA from 1 species
AGAGCUUGAUCAUGGCUCAGGAUGAACGCUAGCGACAGGCUUAACACAUGCAAGUCGAGGGGCAGCAUAAUUUGUAGCAAUACAGAUUGAUGGCGACCGGCGCACGGGUGAGUAACGCGUAUGCAACUUACCUAUCAGAGGGGAUAGCCCGGCGAAAGUCAAAUUAAUACCCCAUAAAACAGGGGUCCCGCAUGGGAAUAUUUGUUAAAGAUUCAUCGCUGAUAGAUAGGC